rnacentral:rRNA from 1 species
GAUGAACGCUGGCGGCGUGCUUAACACAUGCAAGUCGAACGAUGAACCGGGUGCUUGCACUCGGGGAUUAGUGGCGAACGGGUGAGUAACGCGUGAGCAACCUGCCCCUGACUCUGGGAUAAGCGCUGGAAACGGCGUCUAAUACUGGAUAUGUCCCGUCACCGCCUGGUGUGCGGGUGGAAAGAUUUUUCGGUUGGGGAUGGGCUCGCGGCCUAUCAGCUUGGUGGUGAGGUAAUGGCUCACCAAGGCGUCGACGGGUAGCCGGCCUGAGAGGGUGACCGGCCACACUGGGACUGAGACACGGCCCAGACUCCUACGGGAGGCAGCAGUGGGGAAUAUUGCACAAUGGGCGGAAGCCUGAUGCAGCAACGCCGCGUGAGGGAUGACGGCCUUCGGGUUGUAAACCUCUUUUAGCAGGGAAGAAGCGAGAGUGACGGUACCUGCAGAAAAAGCACCGGCUAACUACGUGCCAGCCGCCGCGGUAAGAC